rnacentral:rRNA from 1 species
GAUGAACGCUGGCGGCGUGCCUAAUACAUGCCAGUCGAGCGAACAGAUGAGGAGCUUGCUCCUCUGACGUUAGCGGCGGACGGGUGAGUAACACGUGGAUAACCUACCUAUAAGACUGGGAUAACUUCGGGAAACCGGAGCUAAUACCGGAUAAUAUAUUGAACCGCAUGGUUCAAUAGUGAAAGACGGUUUUGCUGUCACUUAUAGAUGGAUCCGCGCCGCAUUAGCUAGUUGGUAAGGUAACGGCUUACCAAGGCAACGAUGCGUAGCUGACCUGAGAGGGUGAUCGGCCACACUGGAACUGAGACACGGUCCAGACUCCUACGGGAGGCAGCAGUAGGGAAUCUUCCGCAAUGGGCGAAAGCCUGACGGAGCAACGCCGCGUGAGUGAUGAAGGUCUUCGGAUCGUAAAACUCUGUUAUUAGGGAAGAACAAAUGUGUAAGUAACUAUGCACGUCUUGACGGUACCUAAUCAGAAAGCCACGGCUAACUACGUG